UACGAAGGGGGCUAGCGUUGCUCGGAAUUACUGGGCGUAAAGCGCACGUAGGCGGCUUUCUAAGUCGGGGGUGAAAUCCUGGAGCUCAACUCCAGAACUGCCUUCGAUACUGGGAGCUCGAGUCCGGGAGAGGUGAGUGGAACUGCGAGUGUAGAGGUGAAAUUCGUAGAUAUUCGCAAGAACACCAGUGGCGAAGGCGGCUCACUGGCCCGGUACUGACGCUGAGGUGCGAAAGCGUGGGGAGCAAACAGG
rnacentral:rRNA from 1 species